rnacentral:lncRNA from 1 species
UUAAACCACACCCUGAAAAUUCUGGAGGCCACGCUUAGAGGCACUAACUGCACAACAGUCUCAUGGCCCACUGUCACAUCACGGGCAGCAAGUUCAGUGCACCUGCUCUGGAUUCCUGGCAGAAGAAUCUAAGGACGCAGAACAAGCAUGUAGUGACCUGGCCACCUCCAAAAUCCUGGAGAGCUCUUCUGAAUGGCUGAUUCAUCACAGCUUCUGCUGCCUGGUAAGAUCUGCAGUUUUCUAUUGUUUACCCUGUCUUGCUAACUAGCUUGAAGACCUCUAAGGGCACAAAUUGUCUCAUACUGGUUU